rnacentral:rRNA from 1 species
GCCUGAUCCAGCCAUGCCGCGUGAGUGAUGAAGGCCUUAGGGUUGUAAAGCUCGUUUUAUCCGGGACGAUAAUGACGGUACCGGAGGAAUAAGCCCCGGCUAACUUCGUGCCAGCAGCCGCGGUAAUACGAAGGGGGCUAGCGUUGCUCGGAAUCACUGGGCGUAAAGGGCGCGUAGGCGGCGUUUUAAGUUGGGGGUGAAAGCCUGUGGCUCAACCACAGAAUUGCCUUCGAUACUGGGACGCUUGAGUGUGGUAGAGGUUGGUGGAACUGCGAGUGUAGAGGUGAAAUUCGUAGAUAUUCGCAAGAACACCGGUGGCGAAGGCGGCCAACUGGACCAUCACUGACGCUGAGGCGCGAAAGCGUAGGGAGCAAACAGGAUUAGAUACCCUGGUAGUCCACGCUGUAAACGAUGAAUGCCAGCCGUUGGGGGGCUUGCCUUUCAGUGGCGCAGCUAACGCUUUGAGCAUUCCGCCUGGGGAGUACGGUCGCAAGAUUA